AACAUAGAAGAGAAUAGAGUUAUUGCCAGUGAGUUGUUGGAAAGCAGGAAUCCCCAAAGCACCAAUCACCAACUGUGGGCGAUUCUUUCGCUUGAGGAGGUUCCUGAACGGGUUUUUUAUGGCCCGUGCUGCUUCGCUUGCAUCUACAAGAUCGGCAAAUUCUGCAUCAACAUUCUUGGUACCUCUUACUUUCUCUAGUACUUUUCUACCUUCUUCUAAUCUGCCUUGUUCUACAAGACUAUUGGGGGUUUCCGGGAGGAAAAGUCCUCCAACAAACAUGAAAGUUGCCGGGAGUGUGGCUAAACCCAGUGAUAAUCUCCACCCCCAAGGAUGGAUCUUUUCGGUUCCGUAAUUAAUGAAGUUUGCGACAACAAUCCCUAUGCAGGUUGUUAGUUGAAACAGUUGGUUAACCGCUCCUCGGACUUUUGCUGGUGCCAUUUCUGAAAGAUACAGAGGAACUGCCUGUAGUAGGAGGACAAGAAAACAGAGGUCUUUUCAAACUUGCUUUUUGAUGGGAAAUUACCAUAUUAUCCUCAUAAUAUUGUGAAGCCCUCAUAGGGACACAGUGAAAUAUUAUAAAUUACAUUGAGGGAGAUCUCAAACAGAAUCUGAGAACAUUGAGCUUACUUGAUUGCCGAAUCCAAUGCCAAAACCUAGAAAUAUUCUACCGAUGAUCAGCAUUGCAAUGUUCUGUGCGGCGGCAUUGACAACUCCUCCUAAAAAGAAACUAAC